CAUCCAAGUUCUGGGACGGCUCGCGCUUCUCGCGAUGGAGAUACUAAUCUAGAAUAGAAGAAUAUAGAUACCCUCAAAAAUUUCAAAAAUGAAUUAAAUGAUUAAAACACGGAAAAACCAACAAAUAUAACCCCAUAAAGUAAUAAAUUAUCCUUCAGAUUAAAGAAAUCAAUUUAAAAAAUUUAAAGUCUGGGAAUUGAAAGAUGCAUUUAGAGACAUAAAGUAUUUAUAAAAUCUAUAAUGUGGAAAAAAAGUGCGUGUAUGCAACGAUAGUGUCAGUUUUUUUUUAAUUAUUCGAAAUUUAAUAAUUUAAAACGACUUAGUUUCUCGCGAGAUUUCUCGCCUACCACUUCCGGGAUUGUGUUACUCAUCUUUUUUUUUAUUCUUGGAGAAGUUAUACUUCUUUUUAGCAAAAAGAAAAGAAGUGUUUUUUUCGUGAAUUUAGAAUGGAGGUUCUCGGACUUGGAAGCCGAUUUUUUUUUAAAGAAGAGAAGAUUUUUGAUGAAAGGACAGCGGGAAAGUUGUGCAAUCCGGGUUGCCGCGUGGGAGACCUGUCGCUUCAGAUGAACUGGAAAGAUGCUGAGAGCUUAGCAGAUAAGUGACGUAAAAAUCAGGGAACGAGACUUUGGAUUACUUUGUCUUCAUUUCCCAACAAUUAAACCGAACCACACCACUGACCACCACACCCGACGUGAAGGAAUGCUUACGCUUUUAAAUCAUGUAGCCCCUGGUGAGUAAAACUA